rnacentral:rRNA from 1 species
GACGAACGCUGGCGGCGUGCUUAACACAUGCAAGUCGAACGGAAAGGCCCUGCUUUUGUGGGGUGCUCGAGUGGCGAACGGGUGAGUAACACGUGAGUAACCUGCCCUUGACUUUGGGAUAACUUCAGGAAACUGGGGCUAAUACCGGAUAGGAGCUCCUGCUGCAUGGUGGGGGUUGGAACGUUUCGGCGGUUGGGGAUGGACUCGCGGCUUAUCAGCUUGUUGGUGGGGUAGUGGCUUACCCAGGCUUUGACGGGUAGCCGGCCUGAGAGGGUGACCGGCCACAUUGGGACUGAGAUACGGCCCAGACUCCUACGGGAGGCAGCAGUGGGGAAUAUUGCACAAUGGGCGGAAGCCUGAUGCAGCAACGCCGCGUGCGGGAUGACGGCCUUCGGGUUGUAAACCGCUUUCGCCUGUGACGAAGCGUGAGUGACGGUAAUGAGUAAAGAAGCACCGGCUAACUACGUG